rnacentral:misc_RNA from 1 species
GAUGAAGAACGUAGCGAAAUGCGAUAAGUAAUGUGAAUUGCAGAAUUCAGUGAAUCAUCGAAUCUUUGAACGCACAUUGCGCCCGCCAGUAUUCUGGCGGGCAUGCCUGUUCGAGCGUCAUUUCAACCAUCAAGCCCCCGGGCUUGUGUUGGGGUCCUGCGGCUGCCGCAGGCCCUGAAAAGCAGUGGCGGGCUCGCUGUCACACCGAGCGUAGUAGAUUUUAUCUCGCUCAGGGCGUGCUGCGGGUUCCGGCCGUUAAACCACCUUCAUAACCCAAGGUUGACCUCGGAUCAGGUAGGAAGACCCGCUGAACUUAAGAAUAUCAAUAAGCGGAGGA